rnacentral:tRNA from 1 species
AGAAAUAUAUUUUAUUAAGCUGCUAACUUAAUUAUUAGUGAAUAAUAUCAUUAAUAUUUCUU